GGGGAAUUAGCUCAGUUGGCUAGAGCACCUGCUUUGCAAGCAGGGGGUCAUCGGUUCGACUCCGAUAUUCUCCA
rfam:Bacteroidetes bacterium 41-46 SCNpilot_bf_inoc_scaffold_603, whole genome shotgun sequence.